GCCAUCAGAGAGGAGGUACAGGAUCCACUCAGAGUUUUAGGAACAUCUUCCCCUCUGCCAUCAGAUUUCUGAAUGGACAAUGAACCAGCACACAAAACCGCCUUUCUGGCCAUUGGAUCUCACUGGAGAUUUCAUCUGCCCAGUCGCAGGAGCUGAUUUCGCUGCCUAGGACAGGCAUGUCCUUAUCUCCCCAGGGUAUGAGGCCCUUUGGCUACCCUCACCUCAUUUAGCCCACCUGUCGAAGCGGGGUACCAGGACAUGACCGCUGGGGCAUGCAAGCAGCUAUUUGGAACUCUAGAUGGGAACUCUAGAUGAGAGCUGAGUGUCCAGUGGAAUCCAAAGCCUGGAGAGCGGGGAACCCUGUAGUCACCAAGCCGACCCACCAAAUGUGCAAGUCCUGGUGUCGCUCAGAGAAGGAAGAAUGUGUGCAGUGAAACGCUGGAGCUAACAGAUUGCCCUUUUGUAACUGGUGUCAGCCAUGGAGGCGAACCACAAAAAUGUGCAAUUAUUGCAUUGUUAUUUCAAAAGAGCGGACAUCUGUUUCCAAUA